rnacentral:rRNA from 1 species
GAUGAACGCUGGCGGCGUGCUUAACACAUGCAAGUCGAACGAUGAAGCCCAGCUUGCUGGGUGGAUUAGUGGCGAACGGGUGAGUAACACGUGAGUAACCUGCCCUUAACUCUGGGAUAAGCCUGGGAAACUGGGUCUAAUACCGGAUAGGAGCGUCCACCGCAUGGUGGGUGUUGGAAAGAUUUAUCGGUUUUGGAUGGACUCGCGGCCUAUCAGCUUGUUGGUGAGGUAAUGGCUCACCAAGGCGACGACGGGUAGCUGGCCUGAGAGGGUGACCGGCCACACUGGGACUGAGACACGGCCCAGACUCCUACGGGAGGCAGCAGUGGGGAAUAUUGCACAAUGGGCGCAAGCCUGAUGCAGCGACGCCGCGUGAGGGAUGACGGCCUUCGGGUUGUAAACCUCUUUCAGUAGGGAAGAAGCGAAAGUGACGGUACCUGCAGAAGAAGCACCGGCUAACUACGUG